rnacentral:rRNA from 1 species
AAUGGGGGAAACCCUGACCCAGCGACGCCGCGUGAGGGAAGAAGGCCUUCGGGUCGUAAACCUCUGUCAGGAGGGAAGAAGUGGAUAGUUCCGAACAGGGGCUUUCCUUGACGGUACCUCCAGAGGAAGCACCGGCUAACUCCGUGCCAGCAGCCGCGGUAAUACGGAGGGUGCAAGCGUUAUUCGGAAUCACUGGGCGUAAAGCGCACGUAGGCGGCCUAGCAAGUCAGGUGUGAAAGCCCUCGGCUCAACCGAGGAAUUGCACUUGAAACUGCCUGGCUACGAGUCCUGGAGAGGGUGGCGGAAUUCCUGGUGUAGGAGUGAAAUCCGUAGAUAUCAGGAGGAACACCGGUGGCGAAGGCGGCCACCUGGACAGGUACUGACGCUGAGGUACGAAAGCGUGGGUAGCAAA